rnacentral:rRNA from 1 species
GGAGUUAGCCGGUGCUUCUUCUGUGAGUGAUGUCCUUCCUGCCGGCUAUUAACCCGCAGGCCUUCUUCCUCACUGAAAGUGCUUUACAACCCGAAGGCCUUCUUCACACACGCGGCAUGGCUGGAUCAGGGUUGCCCCCAUUGUCCAAUAUUCCCCACUGCUGCCUCCCGUAGGAGUCUGGGCCGUGUCUCAGUCCCAGUGUGGCUGAUCAUCCUCUCAGACCAGCUACGGAUCGUCGCCUUGGUGAGCCGUUACCUCACCAACCAGCUAAUCCGACAUAGGCUCAUCCGAUAGCGCGAGGCCCGAAGGUCCCCCGCUUUCCCCCGUAGGGCGUAUGCGGUAUUAGCCUGGGUUUCCCCAGGUUAUCCCCCACUACCGGGCAGAUUCCUAUGCAUUACUCACCCGUCCGCCGCUCGCCACCAGGGAGCAAUCUCCCCGUGCUGCCGCUCGACUUGCAUGUGUUAGGCCUGCCGCCAGCGUUCAAUCUGAGCCAGGAUCAAACUCUGA